rnacentral:rRNA from 1 species
GGGUUGUGAGGUUAAGCGACUAAGCGUACACGGUGGAUGCCCUGGCAGUCAGAGGCGAUGAAGGACGUGCUAAUCUGCGAUAAGCGUCGGUAAGGUGAUAUGAACCGUUAUAACCGGCGAUUUCCGAAUGGGGAAACCCAGUGUGUUUCGACACACUAUCAUUAACUGAAUCCAUAGGUUAAUGAGGCGAACCGGGGGAACUGAAACAUCUAAGUACCCCGAGGAAAAGAAAUCAACCGAGAUUCCCCCAGUAGCGGCGAGCGAACGGGGAGGAGCCCAGAGCCUGAAUCAGUGUGUGUGUUAGUGGAAGCGUCUGGAAAGGCGCGCGAUACAGGGUGACAGCCCCGUACACAAAAAUGCACAUGCUGUGAGCUCGAUGAGUAGGGCGGGACACGUGGUAUCCUGUCUGAAUAUGGGGGGACCAUCCUCCAAGGCUAAAUACUCCUGACUGACCGAUAGUGAACCAGUACCGUGAGGGAAAGGCGAAAAGAACCCCGGCGAGGGGAGUGAAAAAGAACCUGAAACCGUGUACGUACAAGCAGUGGGAGCCUCUUUUAUGGGGUGACUGCGUACCUUUUGUAUAAUGGGUCAGCGACUUAUAUUCUGUAGCAAGGUUAACCGAAUAGGGGAGCCGAAGGGAAACCGAGUCUUAACUGGGCGUUAAGUUGCAGGGUAUAGACCCGAAACCCGGUGAUCUAGCCAUGGGCAGGUUGAAGGUUGGGUAACACUAACUGGAGGACCGAACCGACUAAUGUUGAAAAAUUAGCGGAUGACUUGUGGCUGGGGGUGAAAGGCCAAUCAAACCGGGAGAUAGCUGGUUCUCCCCGAAAGCUAUUUAGGUAGCGCCUCGUGAAUUCAUCUCCGGGGGUAGAGCACUGUUUCGGCAAGGGGGUCAUCCCGACUUACCAACCCGAUGCAAACUGCGAAUACCGGAGAAUGUUAUCACGGGAGACACACGGCGGGUGCUAACGUCCGUCGUGAAGAGGGAAACAACCCAGACCGCCAGCUAAGGUCCCAAAGUCAUGGUUAAGUGGGAAACGAUGUGGGAAGGCCCAGACAGCCAGGAUGUUGGCUUAGAAGCAGCCAUCAUUUAAAGAAAGCGUAAUAGCUCACUGGUCGAGUCGGCCUGCGCGGAAGAUGUAACGGGGCUAAACCAUGCACCGAAGCUGCGGCAGCGACGCUUAUGCGUUGUUGGGUAGGGGAGCGUUCUGUAAGCCUGCGAAGGUGUACUGUGAGGUAUGCUGGAGGUAUCAGAAGUGCGAAUGCUGACAUAAGUAACGAUAAAGCGGGUGAAAAGCCCGCUCGCCGGAAGACCAAGGGUUCCUGUCCAACGUUAAUCGGGGCAGGGUGAGUCGACCCCUAAGGCGAGGCCGAAAGGCGUAGUCGAUGGGAAACAGGUUAAUAUUCCUGUACUUGGUGUUACUGCGAAGGGGGGACGGAGAAGGCUAUGUUGGCCGGGCGACGGUUGUCCCGGUUUAAGCGUGUAGGCUGGUUUUCCAGGCAAAUCCGGAAAAUCAAGGCUGAGGCGUGAUGACGAGGCACUACGGUGCUGAAGCAACAAAUGCCCUGCUUCCAGGAAAAGCCUCUAAGCAUCAGGUAACAUCAAAUCGUACCCCAAACCGACACAGGUGGUCAGGUAGAGAAUACCAAGGCGCUUGAGAGAACUCGGGUGAAGGAACUAGGCAAAAUGGUGCCGUAACUUCGGGAGAAGGCACGCUGAUAUGUAGGUGAAGUCCCUCGCGGAUGGAGCUGAAAUCAGUCGAAGAUACCAGCUGGCUGCAACUGUUUAUUAAAAACACAGCACUGUGCAAACACGAAAGUGGACGUAUACGGUGUGACGCCUGCCCGGUGCCGGAAGGUUAAUUGAUGGGGUUAGCGCAAGCGAAGCUCUUGAUCGAAGCCCCGGUAAACGGCGGCCGUAACUAUAACGGUCCUAAGGUAGCGAAAUUCCUUGUCGGGUAAGUUCCGACCUGCACGAAUGGCGUAAUGAUGGCCAGGCUGUCUCCACCCGAGACUCAGUGAAAUUGAACUCGCUGUGAAGAUGCAGUGUACCCGCGGCAAGACGGAAAGACCCCGUGAACCUUUACUAUAGCUUGACACUGAACAUUGAGCCUUGAUGUGUAGGAUAGGUGGGAGGCUUUGAAGUGUGGACGCCAGUCUGCAUGGAGCCGACCUUGAAAUACCACCCUUUAAUGUUUGAUGUUCUAACGUUGACCCGUAAUCCGGGUUGCGGACAGUGUCUGGUGGGUAGUUUGACUGGGGCGGUCUCCUCCUAAAGAGUAACGGAGGAGCACGAAGGUUGGCUAAUCCUGGUCGGACAUCAGGAGGUUAGUGCAAUGGCAUAAGCCAGCUUGACUGCGAGCGUGACGGCGCGAGCAGGUGCGAAAGCAGGUCAUAGUGAUCCGGUGGUUCUGAAUGGAAGGGCCAUCGCUCAACGGAUAAAAGGUACUCCGGGGAUAACAGGCUGAUACCGCCCAAGAGUUCAUAUCGACGGCGGUGUUUGGCACCUCGAUGUCGGCUCAUCACAUCCUGGGGCUGAAGUAGGUCCCAAGGGUAUGGCUGUUCGCCAUUUAAAGUGGUACGCGAGCUGGGUUUAGAACGUCGUGAGACAGUUCGGUCCCUAUCUGCCGUGGGCGCUGGAGAACUGAGGGGGGCUGCUCCUAGUACGAGAGGACCGGAGUGGACGCAUCACUGGUGUUCGGGUUGUCAUGCCAAUGGCACUGCCCGGUAGCUAAAUGCGGAAGAGAUAAGUGCUGAAAGCAUCUAAGCACGAAACUUGCCCCGAGAUGAGUUCUCCCUGACUCCUUGAGAGUCCUGAAGGAACGUUGAAGACGACGACGUUGAUAGGCCGGGUGUGUAAGCGCAGCGAUGCGUUGAGCUAACCGGUACUAAUGAACCGUGAGGCUUAACCUUACAACGCCGAAGGUGUUU